AGCGAACGCUGGCGGCAGGCCUAACACAUGCAAGUCGAACGAACUCUUCGGAGUUAGUGGCGGACGGGUGAGUACCACGUGGGAACGUGCCUUUUGGUUCGGAAUAACUCAGUGAAACUUGUGCUAAUACCGAAUGUGCCCUUCGGGGGAAAGAUUUAUCGCCAUUAGAGCGGCCCGCGUCUGAUUCGCUAGUUGGUGAUGUAACGGCUCACCAAGGCGACGAUCAGUAGCUGGUCUGAGAGGAUGACCUGCCACACUGGGACUGAGACACGGCCCAGACUCCUACGGGAGGCAGCAGUGGGGAAUCUUGCGCAAUGGGCGAAAGUCUGACGCAGCCAUGCCGCGUAAAUGAUGAAGGUCUUAGGAUUGUAAAAUUCUUUCACCGGGGACGAUAAUGACGGUACCCGGAGAAGAAGCCCCGGCUAACUUCGUG
rnacentral:rRNA from 1 species